GACGAACGCUGGCGGCGCGCCUAACACAUGCAAGUCGAACGGAGUUAAGAGAAGCUUGCUUUUCUUAACUUAGUGGCGAACGGGUGAGUAACGCGUGAGUAACCUGCCCUGGAGUGGGGGACAACAGUUGGAAACGACUGCUAAUACCGCAUAAGCCCACGGAUCCGCAUGGAUCUGCGGGAAAAGGAUUUAUUCGCUUCAGGAUGGACUCGCGUCCAAUUAGCUGGUUGGUGAGGUAACGGCCCACCAAGGCGACGAUUGGUAGCCGGACUGAGAGGUUGAACGGCCACAUUGGGACUGAGACACGGCCCAGACUCCUACGGGAGGCAGCAGUGGGGGAUAUUGCACAAUGGGGGAAACCCUGAUGCAGCGACGCCGCGUGGAGGAAGAAGGUUUUCGGAUUGUAAACUCCUGUCGU
rnacentral:rRNA from 1 species